rnacentral:rRNA from 1 species
GGGUUGUGAGGUUAAGCGACUAAGCGUACACGGUGGAUGCCUAGGCAAUCAGAGGCGAUGAAGGACGUGCUAAUCUGCGAUAAGCGUCGGUAAGGUGAUAUGAACCGUUAUACCCGACGAUUUCCGAAUGGGGAAACCCAGUGCAAUCCGUUGCACUAUCGUUUGAUGAAUACAUAGUCAAACGAAGCGAACCGGGGGAACUGAAACAUCUCAGUACCCCGAGGAAAAGAAAUCAACCGAGAUUCCCCUAGUAGCGGCGAGCGAACGGGGAGCAGCCCAGAGUCUUAAUCAGCAUCAGCAUCAGGAGAACGGUCUGGAAAGUCCGGCAGUAAAGGGUGAUAGCCCCGUAUCCGAAGGUGUUGGUGUUGUGAACUCGACGAGUAGGGCGGGACACGUGUUAUCCUGUCUGAAUAUGGGGGGACCAUCCUCCAAGGCUAAAUACUCCUGAUUGACCGAUAGUGAACCAGUACCGUGAGGGAAAGGCGAAAAGAACCCCGGCGAGGGGAGUGAAAUAGAACCUGAAACCGUGUACGUACAAGCAGUGGGAGCACCUUCGGGUGUGACUGCGUACCUUUUGUAUAAUGGGUCAGCGACUUAUAUUCUGUAGCAAGGUUAACCG